rnacentral:tRNA from 1 species
GCCGCUAUGGUGUCGUAGACA